rnacentral:tRNA from 1 species
UAGGCCUACUGGCUAUUUACAAACCACCAUCCAAAUUUGCACUUUAGAUCUAAUCUAGGCCU